CACAGAUGUGUCAGUCAGGAACGUCUUCAGGCCUUUGGCUUCUUUACCUCAACCCACAACCAUAGUGAUGUGUCACUGCAUAUAUAUAUAUAUAUGUGUUGUAUAACACAAACGGCACAUUUGUCCCCAACCUCAUCAUCGCUUGUUUCUUCCUCUGGUGGGCGGAGUCCUAACGAGCCAAUCAGGAGGCGGCGGAGGGGAGCGCUUAACGAGGGCGCCAUGGUGAACACACAUAUCCACGGCGGGUUUGUUAGAGAGACGCACUGCAGCGUUUGGGGAAAAAGGUCACAAGAGCCACGUGCUCAGUAGACGGCCAAGAACCUUCCUCCUCCAUAACCGGGCCGGGCGGUUCUUCUACCCACAGGUGGCCUCCAGACCAACUUGUUGUGUCUC
ensembl:lncRNA